rnacentral:rRNA from 1 species
GAUGAACGCUGGCGGCGUGCCUAAUACAUGCAAGUCGAGCGAACGGACGAGAAGCUUGCUUUUCUGAUGUUAGCGGCGGACGGGUGAGUAACACGUGGAUAACCUACCUAUAAGACUGGGAUAACUUCGGGAAACCGGAGCUAAUACCGGAUAAUAUUUUGAACCGCAUGGUUCAAAAGUGAAAGACGGUCUUGCUGUCACUUAUAGAUGGAUCCGCGCUGCAUUAGCUAGUUGGUAAGGUAACGGCUUACCAAGGCAACGAUGCAUAGCCGACCUGAGAGAGUGAUCGGCCACACUGGAACGGAGACACGGUCCAGACUCCUACGGGAGGCAGCAGUAGGGAAUCUGCCGCAAUGGGCGAAAGCCUGACGGAGCAACGCCGCGUGAGUGAUGAAGGUCUUCGGAUCGUAAAACUCUGUUAUUAGGGAAGAACAUAUGUGUAAGUAACUGUGCACAUCUUGACGGUACCUAAUCAGAAAGCCACGGCUAACUACGUG